rnacentral:lncRNA from 1 species
CCGUGUCAUGGUUUUACCCAUUACAGUGCUGACAGGGUCAUGGUUUUACCCAUUACAGUGCUGACCGUGUCAUGGUUUUACCCAUUACAGUGUUGACCGUGUCAUGGUUUUACCCAUUACAGUGUUGACCGUGUCAUGGUUUUACCCAUUACAGUGUUGACAGGGUCAUGGUUUUACCCAUUACAGUGCUGACAGGGUCAUGGUUUUACCCAUUACAGUGUUGACCGUGUCAUGGUUUUACUAUUAGGUUGUGUCCCAAAUGACACCCUAUUCCCUACAUUGUACUCUACUUUUGACCAUUUUGACAAAUGUAGGGAACAGGGUACCAUUUGAGGGACACCCUAAUUCUCUGAUAAUAAAUCAAAUAAGCAUAUCUUCCCUUUUCUCCUCCCAUCAUCACUACCUUUUCAUUAUUACCUCCAAUUCUCUAUUCAUUAAGAGAAUUAAAGCUCUGCAAUAGACUGUCAGCAUGAGAGCGAGACAAAAUGAGGAGAGAACGAGUGAGGAGAGAGAACGAGAGAGGAGAGAGAACGAGUGAGGAGAGAGAGAACGAGUGAGGAGAGAGAGAACGAGUGAGGAGAGAGAGUACGAGUGAGGAGAGAGAGAACGAGUGAGGAGAGAGAGAACGAGAGGAGAGAGAGAACGAGAGAGAGAGAACGAGAACCGAGAACGAGAGAGAGAACGAGAAGAGAGAACGAGAGAGGAGAGAACGAGAGAGGAGAGAGAGAACGAGAGAGAGAGAACGAGAGAGGAGCGAGAACGAGAGAGGAGCGAGAACGAGAGAGGAGAGAGAACGAGAGAGGAGAGAGAACGAGAGAGGAGAGAGAACGAGAGAGGAGAGAGAACGAGAGGGACAUACAUAAGAGAAGAGUGAGAAAGAACCAUGGAGAACAAGAGAGAAAGUGACAAAGAAAAUGAAAAAGAGAAUGCAUAAAUGAGUCAGUCCGUGAUGACUUGUGCAGUCUGGUUGUAAUUACAGAUCAAAGGAGUUCCCCUGCUGUGUCCGUCUGUCUGGCUGGUGUGGGUCCUCUAGAGUGGGCAGAGACUGGGUAUGCGACUGGCAGCCAUAGCAACACCAGACAGUCUGCUGAUGCCAUCUACCCCCUAGGCACACUAUUCCCUAUAUAGGGCACUACUUUUACAUUUUUUUACCAGGGCCCUAUAGGGAAUAGGGUGCCGUUUGAGAUGUAUUCUCAGUCAUAGCCACCUGCUAUGGUAACCGAGGGGUUCUGAGACUAAUCACAACCUGAGGAAAGUCUCACAAUUCCCUCUCAAUUCCUGUUAAUAUUCAUGACAGAGUUGUGCAAGUGUCUGAGUUAGGUGCUAAGUCAUAUCCCAUAUUAGGAUUGGUCCUCAUUCAUCCAAGUGUCUGAGUUAGGUGCUAAGUCAUAUCCCAUAUUAGGAUUAGUCCUCAUUCAUCCAAGUGUCUGAGUUAGGUGCUAAGUCAUAUCCCAUAUUAGGAUUAGUCCUCAUUCACCCAUAUAGCUGGCAAGCAAGGAGAACCCAGCAUCCUCAGAUGAACUGAGACUAAUCCUGUAGUUGAGGAAAGACUCGAAUUUCAAUUCAA